GCGGGCGUGGCGAAAUUGGUAGACGCACCAGACUUAGGAUCUGGCGCCGCAAGGUGUGGGGGUUCGAGUCCCUUCGCCCGCA
rnacentral:tRNA from 1 species